rnacentral:rRNA from 1 species
AGGUGUUGCAUGGCUGUCGUCAGCUCGUGUCGUGAGAUGUUCGGUUAAGUCCGCUAACGAGCGCAACCCUCGUCGUAUGUUAUAUGUGUCGUACGAGACUGCCGGUAAAAGCCGGAGGAAGGUGAGGAUGAUGUCAAGUCAGCAUGACCUUUAUAUCCAGGGCUACACACACGCUACAAUGGUCUGUACAAUGGGUAGCCAAGCCGCGAGGCGGAGCCAAUCCUGAAAGCAGGCCUCAGUUCAGAUUGCAGUCUGCAACUCGACUGCAUGAAGCCGGAGUUGCUAGUAACCGCAGGUCAGCAAUACUGCGGUGAAUACGUUCCCGGGUCUU